CAGGCUACAAGACCUGCUACCUAGUCCGAAACAAUCGAUGGAGGCCCCACUGCAAACCGGAAUGGUAAGAGUUGGGGAAUUUUUGUACCGGACUACAACUCCCGGCGGUCUUGCCGUGCACCACGCGAUUCUCUCUCCGAGAACCAGGCAUGUGCAGGUGAAACUACGUUUCCCGGCAUGCAUAGCGGGAGACCUAGUCUCUCGGAAGGCUUAGUUGCUCCCCCCACGUAGGGGGAUGGGAAGGAAACCGCAUUGACCCAUUCUGCAGAUGGGGACACCGAGUCACGAACUGAAUACAACCUCCUCCGGGGCAGAGGUGAUUCAAAAGACCCUGGAGGAGGGCUUGGGGAGACGGAUAUGCGUUGCCCAGCCUGUGCCGUUCGUUCCGCAGGUGCUGGGCGUGAUGAUCGGGGCCGGAGUGGCGGUGCUGGUCACCGCCGUGCUCAUCCUCUUGGUGGUGCGAAGGCUGCGGGUGCAGAAAACUCCAGCCCCGGAGGGUCCCCGGUAUCGGUUCCGGAAGCGGGACAAAGUGCUUUUCUAUGGCCGGAAGAUUAUGCGGAAGGUGUCACAGUCCACUUCUUCCCUGGUGGACACAUCAGUCUCCACCACUUCCCGGCCCCGCAUGAAGAAGAAACUGAAGAUGCUUAACAUUGCCAAGAAGAUCUUACGUAUCCAAAAGGAGACUCCGACCCUACAACGGAAGGAGCCCCCACCUUCAGUGCUGGAGGCUGACCUCACAGAGGGAGACCUGGCCAAUUCCCACCUACCCUCUGAGGUACUCUACAUGCUUAAGAAUGUUCGGGUGCUAGGUCACUUUGAGAAGCCGCUCUUCCUGGAGCUCUGCCGGCACAUGGUCUUCCAGCGUCUCGGGCAGGGGGACUAUGUUUUUCGGCCCGGUCAACCAGAUGCCAGCAUCUAUGUGGUUCAAGAUGGGCUGCUGGAGCUCUGCCUACCAGGGCCUGAUGGGAAGGAGUGUGUGGUGAAGGAGGUGGUUCCUGGAGACAGCGUCAACAGCCUUCUGAGCAUCCUUGAUGUCAUCACGGGUCACCAGCAUCCCCAGCGGACUGUGUCAGCCAGGGCUGCACGGGACUCCACAGUGCUGAGACUCCCAGUAGAAGCCUUCUCUGCUGUCUUCACCAAGUACCCUGAGAGUUUGGUGCGAGUGGUACAGAUCAUCAUGGUAAGGCUGCAGAGAGUCACCUUCCUGGCGCUUCACAAUUACCUGGGUCUGACCAAUGAACUCUUCAGUCAUGAGAUCCAGCCCCUACGCCUUUUCCCCAGCCCCGGCCUCCCGACCCGAACCAGCCCUGUCCGUGGCUCUAAACGGGUAGUCAGCACCUCAGGUACUGAGGACACCUCAAAGGAGACCUCUGGCCGGCCCCUGGACUCCAUUGGAGCUCCUCUGCCUGGACCUGCAGGGGAUCCCGUGAAGCCCACAUCCUUAGAAGCACCCCCAGCCCCGUUACUGAGCCGCUGCAUCUCCAUGCCAGUAGACAUCUCAGGCUUGCAAGGUGGCCCUCGUUCUGAUUUUGACAUGGCCUAUGAACGUGGACGGAUAUCUGUUUCUCUUCAAGAAGAGGCAUCUGGGGGACCUCAGACAGCAUCCCCUAGGGAGCUCCGGGAGCAGCCAGCGGGUGCCUGUGAAUAUAGCUACUGUGAGGAUGAGUCAGCCACAGGCGGAUGUCCCUUUGGGCCCUACCAGGGCCGCCAGACAAGCAGCAUCUUUGAGGCUGCAAAGAGAGAGCUAGCCAAGCUGAUGCGGAUUGAGGACCCCUCUCUACUGAACAGCAGAGUCUUGCUACAUCAUGCCAAAGCCGGCACCAUCAUAGCCCGCCAAGGGGACCAGGAUGUGAGCCUGCACUUUGUGCUCUGGGGCUGCCUGCACGUGUACCAGCGCAUGAUUGACAAGGCUGAGGAAGUGUGCCUAUUUGUGGCACAGCCAGGGGAGCUGGUGGGGCAACUGGCGGUGCUCACUGGGGAACCUCUCAUCUUCACACUACGUGCCCAGAGAGACUGCACCUUCCUGCGGAUCUCCAAAUCCCACUUCUAUGAGAUCAUGCGUGCACAACCCAGUGUGGUACUGAGUGCAGCUCACACGGUGGCUGCUAGAAUGUCCCCCUUCGUGCGCCAGAUGGACUUUGCCAUUGACUGGACAGCUGUGGAGGCUGGUCGUGCGCUCUACAGGCAGGGAGACCGCUCCGACUGCACCUACAUUGUACUCAAUGGACGUCUCCGUAGUGUCAUCCAACGAGGCAGUGGCAAGAAGGAGCUAGUUGGGGAGUAUGGUCGAGGGGAUCUCAUUGGCGUGGUGGAGGCACUGACCCGGCAGCCACGAGCCACCACUGUACACGCAGUGCGAGACACUGAGCUGGCCAAGCUUCCCGAGGGCACCUUAGGCCACAUCAAACGUCGGUACCCACAGGUUGUGACCCGCCUUAUUCAUCUGCUAAGCCAGAAAAUUCUAGGCAAUCUGCAGCAGUUGCAAGGACCCUUUCCAGGCUCCGGGCUCAGUGUUCCGCAGCACUCGGAACUGACCAACCCAGCCAGCAAUCUGUCUACUGUAGCUAUCCUCCCUGUGUGUGCUGAGGUGCCCAUGAUGGCCUUUACUCUGGAACUGCAGCAUGCUCUGCAAGCUAUUGGUCCCACGCUCCUCCUUAACAGUGACGUCAUCCGGGCACUCCUGGGGGCUUCAGCACUGGAUAGCAUUCAAGAAUUCCGGCUGUCAGGGUGGUUGGCCCAGCAGGAAGAUGCCCAUCGCAUUGUGCUCUACCAAACUGACACAUCCCUGACGCCUUGGACCGUCCGUUGUCUGCGCCAGGCCGACUGCAUCCUCAUUGUGGGCCUGGGGGACCAGGAACCCACUGUUGGCCAGCUGGAGCAAAUGUUAGAGAACACUGCUGUCCGUGCCUUGAAGCAACUGGUUUUGCUGCACCGGGAGGAAGGCCCUGGUCCCACGCGCACUGUAGAGUGGCUCAACAUGCGCAGCUGGUGCUCAGGGCACCUGCACCUGCGCUGUCCUCGCCGCCUCUUCUCACGGCGCAGCCCAGCGAAACUUCAUGAGCUGUAUGAGAAGGUUUUCUCCAGGCGUGCAGACCGUCACAGCGACUUCUCCCGCUUGGCACGAGUACUCACAGGAAACACUAUUGCUCUGGUGCUGGGUGGGGGCGGAGCCAGAGGCUGCUCGCAUAUUGGGGUGCUGAAGGCAUUAGAGGAGGCAGGAGUCCCAGUCGACCUUGUGGGAGGCACAUCCAUAGGUUCCUUCAUUGGGGCCUUGUAUGCCGAGGAACGCAGCGCCAGCCGAACUAAACAACGAGCCCGGGAGUGGGCCAAGAGCAUGACUUCUGUACUGGAGCCUGUAUUGGACCUCACAUAUCCUGUCACCUCCAUGUUUACUGGCUCAGCCUUUAACAGAAGUAUCCACCGUGUCUUCCAGGAUAAGCAGAUUGAGGACCUGUGGCUGCCUUACUUCAAUGUGACCACAGACAUCACUGCCUCUGCCAUGCGCGUCCACAAAGAUGGUGGGUGCCAUCCUGCCAAGCCCUGCUACAACCUUGUUGGCCGGCUGUGUGGGGAUGGGUUGUAAGGGGAGGGGCAGCUGAGCAUCUGGGACGUUGUUAACACAAGUGACCGUCCACCUGGGCCCGUCCACCGAUCACUAACCAUCACCCACUAAUGUCCCGAAGGCCCCAGGCUGCGUGUGGCGUUACGUCCGGGCCAGUGCCUCCUACUGUCCCUACCUGCCCCCACUCUGCGACCCCAAGGACGGGCACCUGCUGGUGGACGGGUGUUACGUUAACAACGUUCCAGGUCAGCGAGCCCACAGGCUGGCCGGGCCUCCGAGUGUGUCUGAGCGUGUCUGUGCGUGUCUGUGUCUGUGUAUCCCACCGGGCAGGCUCCCUGUGGCGGUAUGUACGUGCCAGCAUGACGCUCUCGGGCUACCUACCCCCGCUGUGCGACCCAAAGGAUGGGCACCUGCUCAUGGAUGGUGGCUACAUCAACAACCUGCCAGGCAAGUGGCUGCCCACUCACAUCUGCAUGGACACUUAUCACCAGACACAUGCCCACACUGACUUCUGCACAUGCCGACUGGAAGGGACAGGUCUAUAUGAAUGGAGAAGCUCAAGAGGACACACACAGCUUUGCACAGAGUUAUAGACUGACACACAUGCAUGCAUGCAUGCAUAUAUUCAUGCAUACAGAUAUACGAGUGUAUGUGGACAGUAACAUGAACAUUUGAAAAGUACAAACAUCAGACACGGUAGCACACACUGUGAUCACAGCUCUUGGGAGGCAGAGGCAGGUGGAUUAUUGAGUUCAAGGCCAGCCUGGUCUACAGAGUGAGUUCCAGAACACCCAGGGGCUAAACAGAGAAACCCUGUCUGAAAAACAAACAAACAAACAAGUUCAAGGCUUUCUUUAGCUACAUGAUGGAUUUAAGGCCAUCCUGGGCUGCAUGAGACCCUAUCUCAAAAUAUAUAUUAUUUUUAAUUAAAAGUAAGAUAUGCUCAUUUGGUAGAGAAUUUGCCUAGUAUGAGCAGAGGUCUACAUUCUAUAUCCUCUGCUCACACAAAGCCAGGCAUGAUGCUGCUCACCCAUUAUCCCAGGAUUCAGAUUGAAGCAGCAGGAUUGGGAAUCCAAGGCCAUUUUAAGCUACAGAGCAAGUUCCAGACAAGCCUGAGCUACAGGAAAUGAAGUGCCUUUCCAUUCUCAUGUGUCACAGUGGACACAGAGAGGCUGGCAUAUGAGGGACAAGAGCUGGAGCCUAGUUACACGUGCACAUGCAUAGAGAUCACGCUUCUACAUGUGCACACCAGCUCCCUAUGCACACCUGUUCUCUCGGGUGCUUACAUAGGCAGAACACAUGAACAUGUGUGAAUACACACAUACUUGAGAUGGAAUUAACCACACUGGCCACACCUUCCCUGAACAGUCUAUGGAAUAUGCCUGUAUAGACCUGAAGAUUGAAUAAGGUGCCUAUGUGACCAAGAUAAGCAUUUUUUCACACCCACCAACUUAAAGGUUCUUUUUUGUUUGUGUUUUAGACAGGAUCUAGUGUAGUUCAUGGUAGCCUCAAACUUGAUAGGUAAUCAGAGAUGAUCUUGAAUUUCUGAUCCUCCUGCCUCCACGUCUGGGCUGCUGGGAUGACAAAUGUGCUCCACCAUGCCCCGUUUGCAUGGUGCUAGGGAUGGAAUCCAGGGCUCUUGUGCUGCACAGACACUCUACUAACUGAGCUACAUUCCCAUCCUGCUGCUGACGUCACACACAUAGGUGGGAGGUCGAUGCAAGUGCAGCUCUGAGAAAACCUCAUUCUCUUUGUGGCUGCACAACCUUUAAUGCCAGCACUCCAGAGAUCUCUGAGUUCGAGGCCAGCCUCAUCUACGUAGUGAGCUUCAGAACAGCCAGGGCUACACAGAGAAACCCUGUUUCAAAAAACAACCAACAAACCAAAAGAACUCGGUCUCAGAAGUGUAUGCUCCAGAAACAUAAGUUAGUUACACACAGACACACAUGCUUGAUCUCAUAGACCAGGAUCUGGCCAGCUAUAGCACACUGUGUGCAUCUGGGCCUGUGCUUGACUUUAUGAAUAAAGGAUUUCUUUAUAUUUACAUAUGUAUUUGUGACCACAACACAUGGAGGUUGAAGGACAAUUAAUAGGAGUUUUCUCAUUCUAAAAUAACCAGUUGAACUCUGGUUAUAAUGGUUUGGUAAGUGCUCCACCUGCUGAGUCACCUACAUGACCAUGUUUAGUUAGUUAGUUAGUUAGUUAGUUAGUUGUUAAACCCGAACUGACCUCUAGCUUCCUACGUAGCUGAGGUUGGUCUUGAAUUUAUUCCUCCUCUGUCCACUUCCCAAGUGUUGGGAUUCUAGGCCUGAGCCUGGCUUAGAAAUAACGAUUCACUGGGAUAGCCAUGCCCAUGACCCACCUCUCAUCUACUGUCUCUGUUGCAGAACAACAGGGGUGAAAACUCAGAGCAGAACUAAAAGCGUUUUCUAAUGGUCCUGCAAGCACUGGAAAUGUACUAUACAUGUAAACACUGCCACAGUCCCUCAUAUGGCGUUCACAUAAGUGUUCACAGACCUACAGAUAGACACCAUACUUGGUUAUGCAAACGUAACCUGAGCUCCAUCCCAGUACCCAUGUAAAGAUGGUCACAGCGGAGGACAUCCAUAGCCCAGCACUUUGGAUGGGUGGGGGGAGUAGACUUUAGGAUCCCCAGGGCUCACUGGCCAGCCAGUCUAGUGGAACGGAUGAACUCCAGGUUCAGUGGGUACCUUUUCUAAUUUAAAAAAAAAAAAAAGGGUGCAGUCAGGCUGCAGGCAGUUAAGAAUGUGCACUGCUCUUGAAGAAGACUUAAAUUCUGUUCUCAGCACCUACAUCUUCACAACUACCUGUAACUCCAUCUCCAGAGACAUCUAAUGCCUCUCUUGGCCUCUGCAGACAUUGUGCACAUAUGCACAUAAGCACAUGCAGGCACACAACUAUGUACACAGAAAUAAAUCUAUUAUUUGUUUUGUUUUGUGUUUUGAGACAGGAUAUCUCUGUGUGUAGUCCUCAAGGUCCUGGAAUUCAUUCUGUAGACCAGGCUGGCCUUGAACUCAGAAAUCCACCUGCCUCUGCAUCCUGAGUGCUAGGAUUAAAAGUGUACAUCACUUAAUUUUUAUUUUUAUUAUUUUUAUUUUUAAGGUGUCAGGUGAUAGAGGAAGACACUCAGUGUUAACCUCCAGCCUGCACACAAUACACACACAAAUACACGCAUACACACACAUACGGGUGGAUAUUUCCUGGCAUGCAUUUAGACCGGCUGAGCGAGAGAGAUGCAGUCAUAGGAAGACAUGGUGCUUCCCAUGGGGUCUCAGAGAAGAGAGAUGUAAACAGACAAUCACAGGCAUGUGCAGCUGACAUGCAUACCCAGCAACAUAAACUCAAGGAUAACUACACAAAGUUGAAUAGGCAGUCAGGUAUUUCCUUGGGCUGGGGUUGGCUCUGUAGUACACAGACAUACAGACAUACA